rnacentral:rRNA from 1 species
UACAGAGGUCUCAAGCGUUGUUCGGAUUCAUUGGGCGUAAAGGGUGUGUAGGUGGCGCCGUAAGUCGGGUGUGAAAUUUCGGAGCUUAACUCCGAAACUGCAUUCGAUACUGCGGUGCUUGAGGACCGGAGAGGAGACUGGAAUUCAUGGUGUAGCAGUGAAAUGCGUAGAGAUCAUGAGGAAGACCAGUGGCGAAGGCGGGUCUCUGGACAGUUCCUGACACUGAGACACGAAGGCCAGGGGGAGCAAACGGG